UACGGAGGGGGCUAGCGUUGUUCGGAAUUACUGGGCGUAAAGCGCACGUAGGCGGCUUUGCAAGUUAGAGGUGAAAGCCCGGGGCUCAACUCCGGAAUUGCCUUUAAAACUGCAUCGCUAGAAUUGUGGAGAGGUAAGUGGAAUUCCGAGUGUAGAGGUGAAAUUCGUAGAUAUUCGGAAGAACACCAGUGGCGAAGGCGACUCGCUGGACAAGUAUUGACGCUGAGGUGCGAAAGCGUGGGGAGCAAACAGGG
rnacentral:rRNA from 1 species